rnacentral:lncRNA from 1 species
AUUAAAUUUCAGCCUUCUGAAACAGUGGAUCAAUAUCUUGAUGUUUAGAGGAACAAGUCGUUUAGAAGUUGAGUAAUGGCCUAGCAGUCUCGAGAUGGGAAAAAGCCAAGAAAAAGCCUGUACUUCUACUAUAUAGCUGCUUCCUCUGGUUGGUAAAUGGUGGAAGAAGUUAGAGCUCAGGGGAAAAUGGGCUGCCCUACAGUGCACGGGAGCUCAAGCGCAGGAGCGGGCACUGGCUUUACCUUGUGAUCAGGGCAGGAAUUUUCCACAGGGUUUAGAAGGAAAAAGUCAGUGCCAAUCUUUCAACUCUAUUGAUCGCCUCUCUUGUAGUACUCCGAUGCGUUUUUUCCCCUUAGUUUGAUAAAGGCACUGCUGGAGCACGAGGAAUUCUGAUGAGCACACAUCCAGUAAGACAGGCAAGAUAUUGAAGGAACUUGAGCUGCGAGGCUGGUGCAGACGGAGCCAGCUGGCUCUUAGGCCUCCCUUUAAAAGUCAGCUUUCAAUGGCCGUUAGAGCAAAUUGAGAAGAUGUGUGUAAUGGCUUGGCAGGGCUCGACGCAGAAAGAAGGCUGGAUAGCGUAUGGACAAUGGGAGGUUAUUCUGAAAGCGUGGAAGGAGGAAAUUGAAGUGGUUGGAUUUUUCAGCUGUUCCUCUCCUGUUACGCGUUUGUUGAAAGGAAUCAGUGUUUUGCUUCUUGCACUCAUGCAGAAAAUAUUGCCAGAGGUUCAUUGCCUCGCAGUGUGCAAAGCCCACACCUGCCAGAAAUGCAUUUAAAGGGAAAUUGUAGCACGGGUCCCAUUUCAGCUUAUUAAGCCAGUGAGUACUAAUUAUGUUUUUUUUGUUUGUUUUGUGUUUUUUUUUAAUUAUUAUUUUUUAAAUGGAUUUCUAAACAAAAGCUUUUUAUUUAUUUAUUUUGCAAAAAAAUUGCAACCUGCUGCUGAAGGAAGCAGAGCUCAGGUAGUGCUUCUGCUACCCCAAAUGGGCAGGCUGUACAGCUGCCCCCACUGUGCCUGGUCCUGCUGCUUGCCCCGAGCCCUGGCACACCUCAUGCUCAUUUACUAAAGAUCAGCAGCACCCGAGCUGUGCGGGGAUCAGAGCUCACCUCUCCGCAAGACGUGUGUGCAGUGUUUUUCUAAGAAAUGAUCUCUAGAGGAGCUGCUAGCCAUAGCACUGGCUUUUCUCAAUUGGCUUUGUAAAUUUAGGACAUGCUUAGAAAUAUUUUACACACAGAGGUAACCAGCUCCUAUAAAGGAAGGAACCCACAGCUCAGAAAGAAGUACAAAAAUUAGGAAGAUGAUCAAAUAAAACAUCAGGCAUGGAGCUAUAAGCA